UACGUAGGGGGCAAGCGUUGUCCGGAAUCGUUGGGCGUAAAGCGCGUGUAGGCGGCCCGGUAAGUCCGCUGUGAAAGUCGGGGGCUCAACCCUCGAAUGCCGGUGGAUACUGCCGGGCUAGAGUCCGGAAGAGGCGAGUGGAACUCCUGGUGUAGCGGUGGAAUGCGCAGAUAUCAGGAAGAACACCGACGGCGAAGGCAGCUCGCUGGGACGGUACUGACGCUGAGGCGCGAAAGCGUGGGGAGCGAACAGG
rnacentral:rRNA from 1 species